rnacentral:rRNA from 1 species
UAGGGAAUAUUGGACAAUGGGGGCAACCCUGAUCCAGCCAUGCCGCGUGAGUGAAGAAGGCCCUCGGGUUGUAAAGCUCUUUUGUCCGGAAAGAAAAGCUUCGGGUUAAUACCCCGGGGUUCUGACGGUACCGGAAGAAUAAGCUCCGGCUAACUUCGUGCCAGCAGCCGCGGUAAUACGAAGGGAGCUAGCGUUGUUCGGAAUUACUGGGCGUAAAGGGCGCGUAGGCGGUUUUGUAAGUCAGAUGUGAAAGCCCCGGGCUUAACCUGGGAACUGCAUUUGAGACUGCAAGACUAGAGAUCGAGAGAGGAAAGUGGAAUUACGAGUGUAGAAGUGAAAUUCGUAGAUAUUCGUAGGAACACCGGUGGCGAAGGCGACUUUCUGGCUCGACCCUGACGCUAAAGCGCGAAAGCGUGGGGAGCAAACA